UACAGAGGUCUCGAGCGUUAGGCGGAAUCACUGGGCUUAAAGCGUGUGUAGGUGGAUCGUUAAGUACCUUGUGAAACCCCACGGCUUAACCGUGGAACUGCUUGGUAUACUGGCGGUCUUGAGCCACUUAGGGGCUACCGGAACAAAUGGUGGAGCGGUGAAAUGCGUAGAUAUCAUUUGGAACGCCAAUGGUGAAGACAGGUAGCUGGGAGUGUGCUGACACUGAGACACGAAAGCCAGGGGAGCGAACGGG
rnacentral:rRNA from 1 species